AUUGAACGCUGGCGGAAUGCUUUACACAUGCAAGUCGAACGGUAGAGGGGGCAACCCCUCGAGAGUGGCGAACGGGUGAGUAAUAUAUCGGAACGUGCCCAGUCGUGGGGGAUAACGUAGCGAAAGUUACGCUAAUACCGCAUACGAUCUAAGGAUGAAAGCGGGGGAUCGCAAGACCUCGCGCGAUUGGAGCGGCUGAUAUCAGAUUAGGUAGUUGGUGGGGUAAAGGCUCACCAAGCCAACGAUCUGUAGCUGGUCUGAGAGGACGACCGGCCACACUGGAACUGAGACACGGUCCAGACUCCUACGGGAGGCAGCAGUGGGGAAUUUUGGACAAUGGACGCAAGUCUGAUCCAGCCAUUCCGCGUGCAGGAUGAAGGCCCUCGGGUUGUAAACUGCUUUUGUACGGAACGAAAAGGUCUCUCUUAAUACGGGGGACUCAUGACGGUACCGUAAGAAUAAGCACCGGCUAACUACGUGCCAGCCGCCGCAGUAAUAC
rnacentral:rRNA from 1 species